rnacentral:rRNA from 1 species
UACGGGAGGCAGCAGUGGGGAAUAUUGCACAAUGGGCGCAAGCCUGAUGCAGCCAUGCCGCGUGUAUGAAGAAGGCCUUCGGGUUGUAAAGUACUUUCAGUCGUGAGGAAGGUGUUAAGGUUAAUAACCUUAGCAAUUGACGUUAGCGACAGAAGAAGCACCGGCUAACUCCGUGCCAGCAGCCGCGGUAAUACGGAGGGUGCGAGCGUUAAUCGGAAUUACUGGGCGUAAAGGGCACGCAGGCGGUUAAUUAAGUUGGAUGUGAAAUCCCCGGGCUUAACCUGGGAAUGGCAUUCAAGACUGGUUAGCUAGAGUCUUGUAGAGGGGGGUUAGAAUUCCAUGUGUAGCGGUGAAAUGCGUAGAGAUGUGGAGGAAUACCGGUGGCGAAGGCGGCCCCUGGGACAAAGACUGACGCUCAUGUGCGAAAGCGUGGGGAGCAAAC